GGAUAAAUAAGAUUUUAUUUGAUAUACUGACAAUUACAAAAUUUCAGAAAUGGAUACUAAGGGUACACAGUUACAAAUAUAUUACUUGAUAGAUGAAUUCUAGAUGAAGCACAAAUAAAAGAACUUUAUGUGAGUAAAGGAGAUACAGUUCCUGAAUCAGAAAAGCUUAAUGCUUAUAUAGGAAUGUACUAGUUACAAGAACACAAUAGAGAAGGAAAAAUCCAAGAGGAAAAUAAGAAUCACAUACAGAGCAAAAUGCACAGGUAAACGUACAAGUAAACUGAGCACAUAAAGGAACUGAAAUAUCUUCCUUCUGCUGGUGACUCGCCAUAUGAGUAGAAGCUUUUUUAAUUUCAUCAAUGAUAACUGCAAGUUAUCGGCUCAGAAAAAAAUCAUGGCUGAAGAUGUGAGCUAUUUUUAUCAACUUUACAAUCUUUUCUUUUAUCUGAUGACUACAGUUUAACAUGAUUUCUUGAACUUCAGAGGGUUCAAAUGAUUGAUUAAAAGACAGCAGAACUACAGAGAAAGAUAACUUAUGUACUUCUGGCCUUUUAAAUUUUGGAUAGAAUAAAAUUAUUUCUAUGAUUUAUUUUUUUUU
rnacentral:lncRNA from 1 species